UACGGAGGGGGCUAGCGUUGUUCGGAAUUACUGGGCGUAAAGCGCGCGUAGGCGGACCUGCAAGUCGGGGGUGAAAGCCCGAGGCUCAACCUCGGAACUGCCUUCGAUACUGCGGGUCUCGAGUCCGGGAGAGGUGAGUGGAAUUCCGAGUGUAGAGGUGAAAUUCGUUGAUAUUCGGAAGAACACCAGUGGCGAAGGCGACUCGCUGGACAAGUAUUGACGCUGAGGUGCGAAAGCGUGGGGAGCGAACAGG
rnacentral:rRNA from 1 species